rnacentral:rRNA from 1 species
UGUAGGCUGCAACUCGCCUACAUGAAGUCGGAAUCGCUAGUAAUCGCGGAUCAGCAUGCCGCGGUGAAUACGUUCCCGGGCCUUGUACACACCGCCCGUCACACCAUGAGAGUUUGUAACACCCAAAGCCGGUGGGGUAACCUUUUGGAGCCAGCCGUCUAAGGUGGGACAGAUGAUUGGGGUGAAGUCGUAACAAGGUAGC